GUGCUCGCUUCAGCAGCACACAUACUAAAAUUGGAACACUCCAGAGAAGAUUAACAUGGCCUCUGUGCAAGGAUGAUACGCACUUUCGUAAAGUGUUCCAUAUUCUU
ensembl:snRNA U6 U6 spliceosomal RNA